UAUGUUGGUAAGUCCUUUUUGCUGUGAGUAUUAAGAGAUAUUAUAUGGUGUUCUAAUUAUUAAUUCUGGGUACAUACAUGUUGGGUCAUCACAACGUAAGAACAGGGUGGACUAUUUGAGCAUACACAACAUCAAGGAAGCGUAUGUUUACCUUGUAUCAUUGCAAUCUUAUAUGGAGUGGCUGUUCAGGUGGAUCAGUCCACAAGAGGAGAAAGAAAAGUGAAGGUUGGUUGUGAGUAUACUUGCAAUGGAGAUCUUAUUGUGUCAUUGAACUUCAGAUGAUUUAUUUUAGUCAACACUUUUGCUGAAGGCACAACUGGAGGUUGGACCUUCAUUGCUGCUCUCAACAUUGAUGACAAAUUGUUCAAUUCCCUACUAUCCAAAUCUUAUAAGACUUUUAAAACAAGGUUUGAAUUUGUAAUGGGUUCACUUUUGUUACAUAUUUCGGUUUCAAAAAGCUUCUAAAGUUUAUUGAUAACCUUUCAAAGUUUAAAAGAUGCUAUUCGUUCAGCCGCUGAUGUGAUGCAGGCAAUUAUAUUCUUAAUACAAUUUUAGUGACAAAGGUUAGUUGAAACUCUUUUGAGGCCCAUUUUUCAGUUGUGUGAAACUUUGGAUAUCUUAAUUGUUGAUAACUUGAUAGCACCCUGUUAAUUGUUUUUCUUUUAUUAACUAAAGAAUAAGGAUACAUAGGCCUAAAAAAUCAAUUUGCUCUAUUUGCUUGGCCAUUUUAACCUCAAAUGCCUAUUGGAAUGAUCGAUAAACUAACAGAAAACAAGUAACAUGUUCUAAAUUGUCACGGUCGUAUUGUGCGGGCACCCUACUAUACCAUGACGAAAACUAUCAGAAACGAGUACCGCAAUGCAAAGUGUCGCUCCCGCCGCAUCGCGCGGGCACCGUACUAGUACCUAAAUAUGAGAUAAAUUUUAAUAUCUAAACAACUAAAUCGUAAACUAUAAAUCGUGGGAAUCUUACUUUAGCCAAUAACUAAUAACGAGUCGCUAUGUGUUAUUCUAAAUAUCUAGGUUAGUCGCGUUUGCUCGUUUCUCUUGGGUUGUUCCAAUCUUACUCGUGCGUUACUUACAAGAAAUCGCAACGCAACCAAUGUUGAUAGACGAAGUAACGAAGAAAUCAAGUUAGGAUGGACUAGAUACCCAUUUUAAUAAUAAACAACGUUUGUUGCAAUUUCUCUGUAUUGAAACAUUGUAUUUGAAUUUAGUCAUUUAUGAAAUUUGAAUUA
rnacentral:lncRNA from 1 species